GAUGAACGCUAGCGGCAGGCUUAACACAUGCAAGUCGAGGGGCAGCGCGGGAUAGCAAUAUCCUGGCGGCGACCGGCGGAAGGGUGCGUAACGCGUGAGCGACAUGCCCGUUGCCCGGGGACAACCGGUGGAAACGCCGACUAAUCCCCGAUGGGAUACGAUGCUUCAUGGCAUUGUAUUGAAAGUUACGGCGGCGACGGAUUGGCUCGCGUCCGAUUAGCUGGUUGGCGGGGUAACGGCCCACCAAGGCUGCGAUCGGUAGGGGUUCUGAGAGGAAGGCCCCCCACAAUGGGACUGAGACACGGCCCAUACUCCUACGGGAGGCAGCAGUGAGGAAUAUUGGUCAAUGGGCGGAAGCCCGAACCAGCCAUGCCGCGUGCGGGAAGGAGGCCCUAUGGGCUGUGAACCGCUUUUGCCUGGGGGCAAUAAGGGCGUCGCGCACGUCCGAUGAGAGUACCAGGCGAAUAAGCAUCGGCUAACUCCGUG
rnacentral:rRNA from 1 species